UGGGGAAUUUUGGACAAUGGACGCAAGUCUGAUCCAGCCAUGCCGCGUGUGUGAAGAAGGCCUUUUGGUUGUAAAGCACUUUAAGCGAGGAGGAGGCUACCGAGAUUAAUACUCUUGGAUAGUGGACGUUACUCGCAGAAUAAGCACCGGCUAACUCUGUG
rnacentral:rRNA from 1 species